AUGGCUACUAAGAUCAUGAUUCUGCUUCUUCUCCAGCUCCUCUCUUCUCAGAGUCCACCACCCCUUACUUUCAACCUUCACAAGCAGAGUAUCGAGGAGCUUCACGAAGCGAUGGAGCGGGCGUUGGCUCCUUUCUUUCCAGCGGUUCGUCAGGCGAAGUGGAUACUCGUCCACGCGGACGGCCAGCAGGCUCUCGUCUCCUCUAUGACUACAACGGCAGACGACCUGCAGGCUGGCCGCAUCCCGGCCAUGAAGGCCAAAGCUGGUGCCGUGCACUUUCACGGCGUAGGUGAGGAGGAGGUCGGUGAGUACGGCGAGGAGGAGGUCCCCCUGCAUCACCUACCGCAAGGCCCCCGUACAUGA
rnacentral:rRNA from 1 species